AACGAACGCUGGCGGCAUGCCUAACACAUGCAAGUCGAACGAGACCUUCGGGUCUAGUGGCGCACGGGUGCGUCACGCGUGGGAACCUGCCCUUAGGUUCGGAAUAACUCCCCGAAAGGGGUGCUAAUACCGGAUAAUGUCUUCGGACCAAAGAUUUAUCGCCUUUGGAUGGGCCCGCGUUGGAUUAGCUAGUUGGUAGGGUAAAAGCCUACCAAGGCGACGAUCCAUAGCUGGUCUGAGAGGCUGAUCAGCCACACUGGGACUGAGACACGGCCCAGACUCCUACGGGAUGCAGCAGUGGGGAAUAUUGGACAAUGGGCGAAAGCCUGAUCCAGCAAUGCCGCGAGAGUGAUGAAGGCCUUAGGGUUGUAAAGCUCUUUUACCCGGGAUGAUAAUGACAGUACCGGGAGAAUAAGCCCCGGCUAACUCCGUG
rnacentral:rRNA from 1 species